rnacentral:rRNA from 1 species
UAACGAUGAAGAGUUUGAUCCUGGCUCAGGAUGAACGCUAGCGGCAGGCCUAAUACAUGCAAGUCGAGGGGUAACAGAAAGUGCUUGCACUUUGCUGACGACCGGCGGACGGGUGAGUAACGCGUAUAUAAUCUGCCUCAUACUAGAGGAUAGCCCGAAGAAAUUUGGAUUAAGACUCUAUAGUAUCAUUUAAAGACAUCUUUUUAUGAUUAAAGGUUACGGUAUGAGAUGAGUAUGCGUUCUAUUAGUUUGUAGGUGAGGUAACGGCUCACCUAGACUACGAUAGAUAGGGGCCCUGAGAGGGGGACCCCCCACACUGGUACUGAGACACGGACCAGACUCCUACGGGAGGCAGCAGUAAGGAAUAUUGGUCAAUGGACGAAAGUCUGAACCAGCCAUGCCGCGUGCAGGAUGAAUGCCCUAUGGGUUGUAAACUGCUUUUAUACAGGAAGAAAAACUUUCUCGUGAGAAAGCUUGACGGUACUGUAAGAA